rnacentral:rRNA from 1 species
UACAGAGGGGGCGAGCGUUGUUCGGAAUUACUGGGCGUAAAGGGCGCGUAGGCGGCCCGCUAAGUCGAACGUGAAAUCCCCAGGCUCAACCUGGGAACUGCGUCCGAUACUGGCAGGCUUGAAUCCGGGAGAGGGAUGUGGAAUUCCAGGUGUAGCGGUGAAAUGCGUAGAUAUCGGAAGGAACACCAGUGGCGAAAGCGGCUUCCUGGUCCAGCAGUGACGGUCAGGCACGAAAGCGUGGGGAGCAAACAGG